rnacentral:rRNA from 1 species
AGCGAACGCUGGCGGCAGGCCUAACACAUGCAAGUCGAACGAAGUCUUCGGACUUAGUGGCGGACGGGUGAGUAACACGUGGGAACGUGCCUUUAGGUUCGGAAUAACUCAGGGAAACUUGUGCUAAUACCGAAUGUGCCCUUCGGGGGAAAGAUUUAUCGCCUUUAGAGCGGCCCGCGUCUGAUUAGCUAGUUGGUGAGGUAAAGGCUCACCAAGGCUACGAUCAGUAGCUGGUCUGAGAGGAUGACCAGCCACAUUGGGACUGAGACACGGCCCAAACUCCUACGGGAGGCAGCAGUGGGGAAUUUUGCGCAAUGGGCGAAAGCCUGACGCAGCCAUGCCGCGUGGAUGAUGAAGGUCUUAGGAUUGUAAAAUUCUUUCACCGGGGACGAUAAUGACGGUACCCGGAGAAGAAGCCCCGGCUAACUUCGUGCCAGCAGCCGCGGUAAUAC